UGCUGAUAUAACAGAAUUAUUAUCACAAAUAUGUAGUACUAUUUUACAACAAUAUUCACUUCAAAAUAGAACCCCAAUAAUACUCCAUAUCCAAAACCCUGUGCUCUUUAUUGUUUUUUCUGUGACUCCUUUACAAUUUACAUCUUUGCAAUGUUAUAUACAGAACCUUGCUGCUAACCUACCACCAGUUUCGGACCCUCUUCGUUCUUCCUCAGUAUUACCAGCUCCUUGUUAAGGCAACAGCUCCAUCGUUGUUGAAGUGUGUACCCUAGAGCUGAUUAUUGCAACGUCCGUGUAUCCAUCGUCUUGAUCUCAUACACUCUUAAACUAAAUCAGUCCUUAUGUUAUGAUAAAACUAUUGUACAAGACUGAUGCCUAGGGAAGAACUGUCAUCAUCUCGAAUUAAGUCCUCAACUGGGUUCUCCUUGGCCCACACAGCUGCAUCCACAUAACCUUGUUCAAAGAGCUUAUCAAGAAUAUCAUCUUCUGCAGGCUCGAGUGCCCAAUUGAGAAGCUGGCGGGGAGUGGCCCUGCUAUCGGGGUUGCAGUCAGGACUUAUCCCAAUUCCUUGCAAUCCCAAACGACUGGCUGGAAAUGCACAAAUGCGCACCGUCUGAGCAGCAGAUGUCGGCGGCAUAAACAGUGUCAGCCCCCCAUCAAUACACAAUCUAUUCCUGAAAAACGUGGCUGGUCUCGGAGCAAGAUAUCCUGGGAUAAACGAAGAAGUAAAGACAGCAUUGAUAAGAUCUUCCUUUGAAUCAAACUGAUCAACCAACAAGCCUCUGGGCCUCCAAAGUAUCUGUGUUACAGCAACACGAACUCUUCCAUUGCAUCUAAUAUGAGCAUCAUCUGGAAGAAAUUUCUCUAGAACUUCUCUAAGAACAGCCCCAAGGCGAAAUGCUGUCCCUUUGAGCCGACAAUCUUGAGCUAAUAUUUUCGUAGCAUCUAGAGCCUCUUGCAUACUGGCACCAGAAGCAACCACUACACAGACAAUUGCACCAGCAGACGAACCAGCUAGUGGUGUUGUCUCCUUGAUAUAGCCCUUCUCAAUGAGAAGCUUAGCAACCCCAAGAUGAUAGGGAAACAAAAGCCCAGCAGCAGAGAAGCUAAACCCAGGGCUAGUCACCGUUUUCAAGCUCUUCUCAGCUUCCACAUCCUUCUCCGUCUGCUCCCACACAACCUCCGGCUGAACAGGGUCCUCAACCACCGACGCUAUCCCUUCCUUCCUCCUUUUCAAAAAGUAAGACUCACUCUCUUCAUCAUCCUUGAACAUAGUCACACCAGCCGGCUCCUCAUUCGACCCAUUAACUAAACUACUUCCACGCCUCAAAACUCGUGAAGCAAUCCCAAGGAAAAGCUCGCCGGUCGCCACCGCAAACGACUUCUUCUCAUCCCCCACUGGCGGAGUAGGCAACGGCGGUUCUCUGAUGGUGGGUGGUUGUUUUGCAUUGGAGUUCGGAGGGGGUGGGUUAGGUUUAGCGGAGAAAUUGAGGGUACGAAGUGGAAAAACGAGAUGGGGAUUAGAUUUAGGGUUUAUAGGAGGGCGAAAAGGACGAGGGUUUGAGAGGAAAAGGGAAGAUAGUGAAGCAGAGUGAUCCGAAUAAUCGGGCUCAGGUACAACAGCAGCAAGUCCAGGAGGCUGGUUAUGCAAUGUCAGUUAAGUAUGAUCAGCAUCAACAAAUGUAUCAGCCCCAACAAUAUGUACACGCUAGUCAAUAUAUCCACCAUACACCUUCUGGUUCUGUGCCAGUGACGUCUUAUUAUCCUAUAUACCCCUCGCAGCAGCAAACUCAUCCUCCUCACCCUGCUCUUGAGCACCAGUACCCUGUUUACAUUGUUCAUUCUAGACAACCUUCGCAAGCAUACAAUUUGCCGGUCCAGCAAACAAAUUAUAGUGAGUCUGCUCAAACAAAUGUUCCUUCUAACCAACCCCAAACACCUCCCGCUCCUAGCAUGGCUGCUCCUGCUGCAGCUUACAACCAUCCUGGAAAUCCUCCUGCCUCCAAACCUGAAAUGAUUGCUGGUGCAUAUAGAACAGCAGCUGCGGGAACUCCACAAUUGGUUCAGAUCACUUCAGGCCAGCAUCAACAGCAAUAUGUUG
rnacentral:misc_RNA from 1 species